rnacentral:rRNA from 1 species
UACGGAGGGUGCAAGCAUUAAUCGGAAUUAUUGGGCGUAAAGGGCGCGUAGGCGGAUUUGUAAGUCAGAUGUGAAAUUCCGAAGCUCAACUUCGGAGCUGCAUUUGAAACUGUGAGUCUAGAGGGAUGGCGGAGAAAAUGGAAUUCCACGUGUAGCGGUGAAAUGCGUAGAUAUGUGGAAGAACACCGGUGGCGAAGGCGAUUUUCUAGCUUUUACUUGACGCUGAGGCGCGAGAGCAAGGGGAGCAAACAGG